rnacentral:rRNA from 1 species
UACAGAGGUCCCAAGCGUUGUUCGGAUUUACUGGGCGUAAAGGGUGCGUAGGCGGUCGGGUAAGUCUGAUGUGAAAUCUCACAGCUUAACUGUGAAACUGCAUUGGAUACUAUCCGGCUAGAGGAAUGGAGGGGAGACUGGAAUACUUGGUGUAGCAGUGAAAUGCGUAGAUAUCAAGUGGAACACCAGUGGCGAAGGCGAGUCUCUGGACAUUUCCUGACGCUGAGGCACGAAAGCCAGGGGAGCAAACGGG